rnacentral:lncRNA from 1 species
UAUUUUUGGCACACGGAGGCCGCCCGCCAAGUCUGGUGCCAUUCCGAGUCCCGCGGACGAACUUCGCCCACGCCCCCCACCAAGGCUAUAGCCCACCCCUUUUUUGGCCAUUUUUCCGCUGGGGGGUCUUGGGACCCCGAACUUCGGGGGCUGUUUUUUGGGCGCGGCUGUGCCCGUGGCCUAUUUUUGGCACACGGAGGCCGCCCGCCAAGUCUGGUGCCAUUCCGAGUCCCGCGGACGAACUUCGCCCACGCCCCACACCAAGGCUAUAGCCCACCCGUUUUUUGGCCAUUUUUCUGCUGGGGGGUCUUGGGACCCCGACCUUGGGGGGCUGGUUUUUGGGCGCGGCUGUGCCCGUGGCCUAUUGUUUGCACACGGAGGCCGCCCGCCAAGUCUGGUGCCAUUCCGAGUUCCGCGGACGAACUUCGCCCACGCCCCCCACCAAAGCUAUAGCCCACCCGUUUUUUGGCCAUUUUUCCGCUGGGGGGUCUAGGGACCCCGAACUUCGGGGGCUGUUUUUUGGGCGCGGCUGUGCCCGUGGCCUAUUUUUGGCACACGGAGGCCGCCCGCCAAGUCUGGUGCCAUUCCGAGUCCCGCGGACGAACUUCGCCCACGCCCCCCACCAAGGCUAUAGCCCACCCGUUUUUUGGCCAUUUUUCCGCUGGGGGGUCUUGGGACCCCGACCUUCGGGGGCUUUUUUUUGGGCGCGGCUGUGCCCGUGGCCUAUUUUUGGCACACGGAGGCCGCCCGCCAAGUCUGGUGCCAUUCCGAGUCCCGCGGAUGAACUUCGCCCACGCCCCCCACCAAGGCUAUAGCCCACCCGUCUUUUGGCCAUUUUUCCGCUGGGGGGUCUUGGGACCUCGACCUUCGGGGGCUGGUUUUUGGGCGCGGCUGUGCCCGUGGCCUAUUUUUGGCACACGGAGGCCGCCCGCCAAGUCUGGUGGCAUUCCGAGUCCCGCGGACGAACUUCGCCCACGCCACCCACCAAGGCUAUAGCCCACCCGUUUUUUGGCCAUUUUUCUGCUGGGGGGUCUUGGGACCCCGACCUUGGGGGGCUGGUUUUUGGGCGCGGCUGUGCCCGUGGCCUAUUGUUUGCACACGGAGGCCGCCCGCCAAGUCUGGUGCCAUUCCGAGUCCCGCGGACGAACUUCGCCCUCGCCCCCCACCAAGGCUAUAGCCCACCCGUUUUUUGGCCAUUUUUCCGCUGGGGGGUCUUGGGACCCCGACCUUCGGGGGCUGGUUUUUGGGCGCGGCUGUGCCCGUGGCCUAUUUUUGGCACACGGAGGCCGCCCGCCAAGUCUGGUGCCAUUCCGAGUUCCGCGGACGAACUUCGCCCACGCCCCCCACCAAAGCUAUAGCCCACCCGUUUUUUGGCCAUUUUUCCGCUGGGGGGUCUAGGGACCCCGAACUUCGGGGGCUGUUUUUUGGGCGCGGCUGUGCCCGUGGCCUAUUUUUGGCACACGGAGGCCGCCCGCCAAGUCUGGUGCCAUUCCGAGUCCCGCGGACGAACUUCGCCCACGCCCCCCACCAAGGCUAUAGCCCACCCGUUUUUUGGCCAUUUUUCCGCUGGGGGGUCUUGGGACCCCGACCUUCGGGGGCUUUUUUUUGGGCGCGGCUGUGCCCGUGGCCUAUUUUUUGCACACGGAGGCCGCCCGCCAAGUCUGGUGCCAUUCCGAGUCCCGCGGACGAACUUCGCCCACGCCCCCCACCAAGGCUAUAGCCCACCCGUUUUUUGGCCAUUUUUCCGCUGGGGGGUCUUGGGACCCCGACCUUCGGGGGCUGUUUUUUGGGCGCGGCUGUGCCCGUGGCCUAUUUUUGGCACACGGAGGCCACCCGCCAAGUCUGGUGCCAUUCCGAGUCCCGCGGACGAACUUCGCCCACGUCCCCCACCAAGGCUAUAGCCCACCCGUUUUUUGGCCAUUUUUCUGCUUGGGGGUCUUGGGACCCCGACCUUCGGGGGCUGUUUUUUGGGCGCGGCUGUGCCCGUGGCCUAUUUUUGACACACGGAGGCCGCCCGCCAAGUCUGGUGCCAUUCCGAGUCCCGCGGACGAACUUCGCCCACGCCCCCCACCAAGGCUAUAGCCCACCCGUCUUUUGGCCAUUUUUCCGCUGGGGGGUCUUGGGACCCCGACCUUCGGUUGCUGGUUUUUGGGCGCGGCUGUGCCCGUGGCCUAUUUUUGUUACACGGAGGCCGCCCGCCAAGUCUGGUGCAAUUCCGAGUCCCGCGGACGAACUUCGCCCACGUCCCCCACCAAGGCUAUAGCCCACCCGUUUUUUGGCCAUUUUUCCGCUGGGGGUUCUCGGGACCCCGACCUUCGGGGGCUGUUUUUUGGGUGCGGCUGUGCCCGUGGCCUAUUUUUGGCACACGGAGGCUGCCCGCCAAGUCUAGUGCCAUUCCUAGUCCCGCGGACGAACUUCGCCCACGCCCCCCACCAAGGCUAUAGCCCACCCGUUUUUUGGCCAUUUUUCCGCUGGGGGGUCUUGGGACCCCGACCUUCGGGGGCUGUUUUUUGGGCGCGGCUGUGCCCGUGGCCUAUUUUUGGCACACGGAGGCCGCCCGCCAAGUCUGGUGCCAUUCAGAGUCCCGCGGACAAACUUCGCCCACGCCCCCCACCAAGGCUAUAGCCCACCCGUUUUUUGGCCAUUUUUCUGCUUGGGGGUCUUGGGACCCCGACCUUCGGGGGCUGUUUUUUGGGCGCGGCUGUGCCCGUGGCCUAUUUUUGGCACACGGAGGCCGCCCGCCAAGUCUGGUGCCAUUCCGAGUCCCGCGGACGAACUUCGCCCACGCCCCCCACCAAGGCUAUAUGUCACGGCCCGGAUUGUUCCCACGCUAUGCCGUGCGGCCUUAGGCGCCAAAUUCGCACUCUAUUGGCCCUAAGUCAGCCUUACACCCAAAUCUGUUGCUGGAUUCGAGAAGCGGAAAAAGGAAUCACUCUAACUCACAAAGUAUGGGAGGAAAGAACUUAUAUUGCUCGAUAGAAUGUUUACAAAGCUAUGUGUGCUGGAAUUGUAUAUUGCUUUUUGAUUGAUUUGGCCAAAUGAGGCCUUCUCCGAUUUAUAGGGUACAAAGAAGUAUCUAGAGAGUCUCUAGAGUUACAUAAACACAUUAAUUACAAUGGAAAUAUCUACAUGCUCUACACAAGUCUCCAUGGCUCUAGAAUUCUCCAUGGGCCAGGCCAUGUGGAAGCUUGGGCCAUGACAUUCUCCCCCACCUAUUCCGGAGACGUCCUCGUCGACUCGCUGUGGAAGGCUUUGAUCUUGUCUUGGAACUGCCACAAAUCAUAUGCGGGCUCCCAACUUGUUUCGCUCUCGGGUAGUCCCUUCCAUUUGACAAAGUACUCUUGGCAUGGUGGAAAACUCUUCUUCCAAACCACACGGUCAGCCAAAAUGGCCUCCACUUCUUUGUCAUAGACCCUUGUGUUGCCCAGUGGAGGGCGCUUGGAUUCUCCCCUUUUCGGAUCUUCCGUAUCCCCAUGGAAUGGCUUCAAGGAACUCACGUGGAAGACCGGAUGGAGUUUUCGCCAAGAGGGUAACUCUAACUUGUACGACACAUUGCCGACCCUCUUGAUGAUGGGAAAUGGCCCCUCGUAUUUCCGGAUGAGGCCCUUGUGCAGCGAACGUGUGGACUUGUGCUGGGCUGGAACGAUCUUGACUAGCACCAUGUCCCCCACGUUGAACUCCAAGUGUCUACGCUUGCUAUCUGCCCAUUUCUUCAUCCGCUUGGUUGCUUUGUCGAGGUGCGCCCGUGCUAUGUCUGUUUGCUCAUGCCAUGACUUAGCCACUUUAUAUGCUGCAGGACACCUCCCGGUAUAGCUCGUGAUGAGCGUGUGUGGUGUAAGCGGCUGCUGUCCCAUGAUCACCUCAAAAGGGCUCCUCGAUGUAGCCUCACUCCGCUGCAAGUUGUAGGAAAAUUGGGCCACGUCCAGCAACUUUGCCCAGUCAUGCUGGUUGGCGCUCACAAAAUGCCGUAAGUACAGCUCCAACAAGGCAUUCACCCUCUCCGUUUGCCCAUCGGUUUGCGGAUGAAAGCUCGUAGAAAAGUGCAGCACCGACCCCAUAAGCUUGAACAACUCAGUCCAAAACCUCCCCGUAAACCGGCUGUCGCGGUCGCUAAUGAUGGAUUUCGGAAGUCCCCAAUACUUCACCACGUGCCUAAAGAAAAACUUGGCUGUGUCCUCCGCUGUGCACUCCUUCGGGGCAGGAAUGAAAGUGGCAUAUUUCGAGAAUCUGUCCACCACCACAACAAUAGUCGCAAACCCCUCCGAUUUUGGAAGACAAGUGAUGAAAUCCAUCGAUAUACUCUCCCACGGUCGAUCCGGAGUGGGCAGUGGCUCAAGCAACCCCGCGGGACAUUGUUGCUCUGUUUUGUCUUGUUGGCACACUAAGCACGUCCGCACGAACUGCUCCACUUCAUCCCGCAUCUGAGGCCAAUAGUAUGCCGACUCAAGCAAUGCCCGUGUCCGCCUUUGUCCCGGGUGUCCAGCCCACUUCGUAUCAUGACACUCCUUGAUCAAGUUCCGCCGCAAGUUUCCCCACUUCGGAACAUAGACACGCCGUCCCUUGGUGUAUAAAAGGCCAUCUUCGACCCAAAACCUCUUCGAUUUCCCCUGUUGUACGAGAGAAACCAGCUGCUUGGCCAAGGGAUCAUGCUCCGUCCCCUCCUUGAUGAGUGUAAGAAGCUCUCCUUGUAUCCGACUCAUGGCAGCAAGCUCGACCUUCCGACUCAAGGCGUCCGCUACCAAAUUAGCCUUUCCGGGCUUAUACUCCAGCACGUAGUCGAAUUCGGCCAAGAAAUCUUGCCAUCUCGCUUGCUUGGGACUAAGCUUCUUUUGGCUUUGGAAGUAACUAGUGGCCACGUUGUCCGUCUUCACCACGAACUUGGACCCAAGCAAGUAGUGCCUCCAUGUGCGCAAGCAGUGCACUACUGCCGUCAUCUCCUUCUCUUGUACCGUGUACCGCCGCUCCGUAUCGUUGAGCUUUCGGCUCUCAAAGGCUAUUGGAUGUUCGGCCUGCAUCAACACACCUCCAAUAGCAAAAUCGGAAGCAUCAGUGUGUACCUCAAAUGGUAAGUCAUGGUUUGGCAGCACAAGUACCGGCUCUUCCAUCACGGCCUUCUUGAGGGCAUCGAAGGCUUGCUGGCUCCUUUCCGUCCAUUCCCACUUGGUAGUCUUUUUGAGCAAAUCAGUGAGUGGUGCGGCAAUGGCGGAAUAACCUCUAAUGAACCUCCGAUAAUAGUUGGCAAGUCCUAAGAAAGAGCGCAACUCAGUCACCUUUGUGGGCGGCUCCCAUUCGGCAAUGGCUCGGACCUUGGCCUUGUCCAUGAGCAGCGUCCCAUCUCUGAUUUUAUGGCCAAGAAAAUCCACCUCCAGUUUUGCGAACGAACACUUCUCCCUCUUCACAUACAGCUCAUUUUCCCGCAACACCCCGAACACGACCCACAAGUGCUCAGCAUGUUCCGCCAAGGUGUUGCUAUAGACCACGAUGUCAUCAAGAUACACCACUACAAACUGAUCAAGGUAUGGCUGGAAUAUGCGGUUCAUGAGCGUGCAAAAUGUGGCUGGAGCAUUGGUGAGGCCGAAAGGCAUUACCUUGAACUCGUACGCUCCAUACCUCGUCACACAAGCGGUCUUCGGCUCAUCUCCCUCCGCAAUCCGUACUUGGUAAUAUCCCGAUCUAAGGUCCAGCUUGGAGAAAUAUUUGGCCCGUCCAAGUUGAUCGAACAAGUCCGCAAUCAGUGGGAUGGGGUAUUUGUUCUUCACGGUCACCUUGUUAAGAGCCCGGUAGUCGAUACAUAGUCGAAGUGAGCCAUCAUGCUUCCGCUGGAACAGCACCGGUGCUCCGUAUGGUGCUUUCGAGGGCUGGAUGUAUCCUGCGUCCAGCAGCUCCUUAAUUUGCCUCCGCAACUCCUCUAGCUCCGGUGGAGACAUGCGGUAAGGUGCUCGUGCAGGCGGUUUGGCACCCGGCUCCAGCUCAAUCUUGGAUGUUGGUGGCCUCGAAGUACCUCUCCAUGGACCACAAGAAGUUCUCGAUCUCCUGGGCAUCCCUCAAGGACUUGGCCUACCGCCUCCGGUAUGGGCUCCAUGGCCAUAGUGUCCUUCCCGUCACCAACCUCAUGAAUGGCCACCGCCUUCUUGCAAAGCGCCCAAUCCAUCUUAGUCUCUUCAAGGCCCGUGUGAAGCUCCUCCACUUGAGCCCUGAGCGCCUCAAUAGAGUUCAGAACCACCGCUUGGAACUCCUCAAGGCUUUGGCGUUGCGCCACCACAUCUUGGCUUAGAUCGCCCAUCCGCUCACCAAGAUCAUCCACCUCCUCCAUCUUUUGCUCAAAGAUCUCGAGGCGUUCUUUAAUCUCAGCGACAGAAAUCUCCCCACAGACAAUCCGAUUCUCCAUGGCGUUGAGCAAGUCCACUGACUUCUCCUUGCUGUUUUUCCCCUUCUUCGUAUUGGGGUUAGGCUCCCUUCCCCUUUGGUCAUCAUGAGUGCUCUCUGACAUCCUUCCUUUCGAACAACGCAACUACCCACGAGUGUAGACGGCUCUGAUACCAACUGUCACGGCCCGGAUUGUUCCCACGCUAUGCCGUGCGGCCUUAGGCGCCAAAUUCGCACUCUAUUGGCCCUAAGUCAGCCUUACACCCAAAUCUGUUGCUGGAUUCGAGAAGCGGAAAAAGGAAUCACUCUAACUCACAAAGUAUGGGAGGAAAGAACUUAUAUUGCUCGAUAGAAUGCUUACAAAGCUAUGUGUGCUGGAAUUGUAUAUUGCUUUUUGAUUGAUUUGGCCAAAUGAGGCCUUCUCCUAUUUAUAGGGUACAAAGAAGUAUCUAGAGAGUCUCUAGAGUUACAUAAACACAUUAAUUACAAUGGAAAUAUCUACAUGCUCUACACAAGUCUCCAUGGCUCUAGAAUUCUCCAUGGGCCAGGCCAUGUGGAAGCUUGGGCCAUGACAUAUAGCCCACCUGUUUUUUGGCCAUUUUUCCGUUGGGGGGUCUUGGGACCCCGACCUUCGGGGGCUGGUUUUUGGGCGCGGCUGUGCCCGUGGCCUAUUUUUGGCACACGGAGGCCGCCCGCCAAGUCUGGUGCCAUUCCGAGUCCCGCGGACGAACUUCGCCCACGCCCCCCACCAAGGCUAUAGCCCACCCGUUUUUUGGCCAUUUUUCCGCUGGGGGGUCUUGGGACCCCGACCUUCGGGGGCUUUUUUUUUGGCGCGGCUGUGCCCGUGGCCUAUUUUUGGCACACCGAGUCCGCCCGCCAAGUCUGGUGCCAUACCGAGUCCCGCGGACGAACUUCGCCCACGCCCCCCACCAAGGCUAUAGCCCACCCGUUUUUUGGCCAUUUUUCCGCUGGGGGGUCUUGGGACCCCGACCUUCGGGGGCUGUUUUUUGGGCGCGGCUGUGCCCGUAGCCUAUUGUUGGCACACGGAGGCCGCCCGCCAAGUCUGGUGCCAUUCCGAGUCCCGCGGACGAACUUCGCCCACGCCCCCCACCAAGGCUAUAGCCCACCCGUUUUUUGGCCAUUUUUCCACUGGGGGGUCUUGGGGCCCCGACCUUCGGGGGCUGUUUUUUUGGCGCGGCUGUGCCCGUGGCCUAUUUUUGGCACACGGAGGCCGCCCGCCAAGUCUGGUGCCAUUCCGAGUCCCGCGGACGAACUUCGCCCACGCCCCCCACCAAGGCUAUAGCCCUCCCGUUUUUUGGCCAUUUUUCCGCUGGGGGGUCUUGGGACCCCGACCUUCGGGGGCU